AUGGCUCUGUGGGACUCCGGUGUCAGAAGCAGCGGCUGGGGCCACGCGGUGACCUCGGGACGCCGCUGCCCGAUUCCGGCGCGAAGGCAACCUCACGCGAAUCACGGCGGCCUUGACCAAGAAGGAGGGGUUCGUGCCGCGCGGCGGCCCAUGAUUGGACCUUGGAGCCACGCGAAGAGAAGGGGAUCCACUCCAAACCCAGCACAGGACAACUUGGCGAACUCACUGUUCGAGAAGAGGCCGAACCAGUUAGGCAUCGGCUACGCGCUACCGCCCAAGAAGGACCUCCACCUGUUCGCCAGCGCCGCAUCCUCAAGCAGCGCAUCCAUGCCCAGUCGUGUUGUUUUUGCCCAUUUAUGUUGUUGCUUUAGUAGCAUCCUUUCCUUUCUUUUAUGUAGCAGCAGAGCACCACUCUUACUAUGCACUUCUCUCCAGAUUCUACUACAAUUACAAAUUUACAAUGCAUUCAUGCAUGAGCAGUGCAUGUGUUGGCUGUCCAUGAGAUCAGGAAUAGUAUAA
rnacentral:rRNA from 1 species